rnacentral:tRNA from 1 species
GAGAGUAUAGCUCAAAGUACUAGAGCACAUGCUUUGCAUGCACGAGGUCCUGGGUUCAAUCCCUGGUACCUCCU